GGGGAAUUUUGGACAAUGGGGGCAACCCUGAUCCAGCCAUGCCGCGUGAGUGAAGAAGGCCUUCGGGUUGUAAAGCUCUUUCGGCCGGGAAGAAAUCGUGCAGGCUAAUACCCUGUAUGGAUGACGGUACCGGAAUAAGAAGCACCGGCUAACUACGUGCCAGCAGCCGCGGUAAUACGUAGGGUGCGAGCGUUAAUCGGAAUUACUGGGCGUAAAGCGUGCGCAGGCGGUUUUGUAAGACAGGCGUGAAAUCCCCGGGCUCAACCUGGGAACUGCAGUGGAUACUGGAUCACUAGAGGGUGGCAGAGGGUAGUGGAAUUCCCGGUGUAGCAGUGAAAUGCGUAGAGAUCGGGAGGAACAUCAGUGGCGAAGGCGACUGCCUGGGCCAACACUGACACUGAGGCACGAAAGCGUGGGGAGCAAACA
rnacentral:rRNA from 1 species